rnacentral:rRNA from 1 species
AGAGUUUGAUCCUGGCUCAGAUUGAACGCUGGCGGUAUGCUUAACACAUGCAAGUCGAACGGUAACAGGCCUUCGGGCGCUGACGAGUGGCGGACGGGUGCGUAACGCGUAGGAAUCUGCCUGUUAGUGGGGGACAACUUGGGGAAACUCAAGCUAAUACCGCAUACGCCCUACGGGGGAAAGCGGGGGACCUUCGGGCCUCGCGCUAACAGAUGAGCCUGCGUUGGAUUAGCUAGUUGGUAGGGUAAAGGCCUACCAAGGCGACGAUCCAUAGCUGGUCUGAGAGGACGAUCAGCCACACUGGGACUGAGACACGGCCCAGACUCCUACGGGAGGCAGCAGUGGGGAAUAUUGGACAAUGGGCGCAAGCCUGAUCCAGCAAUACCACGUGUGUGAAGAAGGCCUGAGGGUUGUAAAGCACUUUUAAUAGGGAGGAAAACCUAUCGGCCAAUACCCGAUAGCUUGACAUUACCUAUAGAAAAAGCACCGGCUAACUCCGUGCCAGCAGCCGCGGUAAUACGGAGGGUGCGAGCGUUAAUCGGAAUUACUGGGCGUAAGGCGUGCGUAGGCGGUUGCUUAAGUCAGAUGUGAAAGCCCCGGGCUUAACCUGGGAACUGCAUUUGAUACUGGGUGACUAGAGUUGAGUAGAGGAGAGUGGAAUUUCAGGUGUAGCGGUGAAAUGCGUAGAGAUCUGAAGGAACACCAGUGGCGAAGGCGACUCUCUGGACUCAAACUGACGCUGAGGUACGAAAGCGUGGGUAGCAAACAGGAUUAGAUACCCUGGUAGUCCACGCCGUAAACGAUGUCAACUAGCCGUUGGUUCUAUUUAAUAGGAUUAGUGGCGCAGCUAACGCAUUAAGUUGACCGCCUGGGGAGUACGGCCGCAAGGUUAAAACUCAAA